UGCAAUCGAGCGGGCGUAGCAAUACGUCAGCGGCAGACGGGUGAGUAACGCGUGGGAACAUACCUUUUGGUUCGGAACAACACAGGGGAAACUUGUGCUAAUACCGGAUAAGCCCUUACGGGGAAAGAUUUAUCGCCGAAAGAUUGGCCCGCGUCUGAUUAGCUAGUUGGUGAGGUAACGGCUCACCAAGGCGACGAUCAGUAGCUGGUCUGAGAGGAUGAUCAGCCACAUUGGGACUGAGACACGGGCCAAACUCCUACGGGAGGCAGCAGUGGGGAAUAUUGGACAAUGGGCGAAAGCCUGAUCCAGCCAUCCCGCGUGAGUGAUGAAGCCCCCCAGGGUUGUAAAGCUCUUUUGUGCGGGAAGAUAAUGACGGUACCGCAAGAAUAACCCCCGGCUAACUUCGUGCCAGCAGCCGCGGUAAUACGAAGGGGGCUAGCGUUGCUCGGAAUCACUGGGCGUAAAGGGUGCGUAGGCGGGUUUUUAAGUCAGGGGUGAAAUCCUGGAGCUCAACUCCAGAACUGCCUUUGAUACUGAGAAUCUUGAGUUCGGGAGAGGUGAGUGGAACUGCGAGUGUAGAGGUGAAAUUCGUAGAUAUUCGCAAGAACACCAGUGCCGAAGCGGCUCACUGGCCCGAUACUGACGCUGAGCACGGAAGCGUGGG
rnacentral:rRNA from 1 species